rnacentral:lncRNA from 1 species
UUUGUCCCCUCUAUAUAUUUAUGUUGUUUAUGAACGUACAUGUAUGUAUAUAUAUCUAUACAUGUUGUCCCUUUUUUUUUUUACCCUUUGAUUUCCAGUGUAAUUUUUCACUGUCUUUGAGCCAUUUCUAGGCUACGUCAAUGUCAACCGUGGACACACGGAGAACACGAAGUGGGAGGAGAAAAUAGAGGCCUUUUUUUUUUUCAAACUAUUCUUGCCUUGACAUUCGUCUUGUUAUUGCCCUUGUCUUUCUUCUAAAGACAUGGAACUCUAUACCGCGCUCUUCUUUAUAUAGAUCUAAACAGUUUUUUGUUUCAUUCUGUCCGAACUCUUUAAGCUGUUUGAAACCCCUUUUUGAAAAGUCCAAAGAGGUCAUUUGAUUUCGAACAAAAGAUGUUGGAAUGUUUUUUGUUGAAACCCCCUUCCCCGAACAAGAAAUGGCUCUUGUUUAAUGACGAACAAGGGACAGAUAUUUAGGCCAACCACAUCAUUAUAAAGACUUGCUUGGAAAUCAGAUUAGGAGAAACAUUUUGAAACACGUUGCGUAAUGGCUGAUUCAUUAUAAACGAAAGAGUAAAACGUUAACUCAAUGUGAACUUCCCAUCAUGUGCAUUUGAAGAUAUAACAAUUCAUGUAUAGAAAAGCUUUAUUUUAUUGUCGAUCUUCGAAAUUGUCCACAGUCGAGAAAAAGGGGAGUGGUUCUGAUUUUCAACCAUUUCAAAAUGUUCAGCCAUAUCUAUAUACUGAAAAAAAAAGAAUUUCCAAUGAUCCAGGUAGAAGAAAAAAAGGUUUUUCUGCAUUCAUAUUGAAGUUGAGGCCUCUCACACACAAUUCAAAGUUAAGAAAGAAGGGAGGGGAGAACGAAGGAGGGGGACGAGAAAGGCAGCAAUAUAACCAGCUGGAAGGGCUGUCAGAUUAAGUUAACUAACAGUAACAUAGUGGGCAUUGGUAAUUAAUUAAUUACAGGUAGGAAGCCAGGUGGGUUGGCACAACCAAGGCCUCCCUGUGUGCAUUUGUGUAAUAGCCUUUUCUUGUUCCAAAAACAAAAGGCCUAUACCAUUUGAAACGUGCACGGACUUGCCUAUGAUAUGUAGGUAAUACCAUUUGAUCCAUAUACUAUAUUUUGCACGCGCUUAAAUCUUUGAAAUUCUAAACGAAUUAUGUCGCACGUUUCAAGUAUUUAUAGUGAAAUGCCUUGUAGAUUGGGGGUAGAAGGCCACUGUGGUUAACAGAAGUGGAAAUCGAAAGAAUAAUAAAAUAAAUAAAUUCAAGGCUUUAGAAUUUGUCCUUGGACUAGGCGGAUAUGCGAGUCCUCACGCGUAACACUUUGAUUCGCCUUGACGUCCUUCAACAAACUUUGAUGAUGAAAUUCUUUCAUUUAUUAUUCAGAAUACGAUGAAAGCUGUUUGCACGGGAUGUAUAUAUACAGUUUAUCGUGUCAAUCGCAAUUCGAUUAAAUAUAUCAAACAGUUGAAAUGAGUUUGAUCGUUUAUGCAAGAAUGAAUGAUCUCGGAAAUAUAUUUGCUGCGGGAAAAGAUGAAAGAUAUAAAGACGAACAAACAAUAGGCUCAUGAAUUCAAGGGUGAAAAAACAAAAUUCGUUCAGCCGUUGCAAUCCCAAAGGCGAUCUGGAAAGAAAAAGAAAACAACUUUGGUUUCUUUUGCGGUAUACACAUAAACAAAAAUUCAUUUCCAUGUAUAGCCGCUAGCAAAAACGCCAUCAGUUGAUGCCAUACACACAGCACAGAAUGAUUAAACUAAAAAGCCAAGACGGAUUUCACGUUUUCCAGCAUUUUCAUAAAAUGACUCCCUUCCCUUUAUAUAUAAAUCCACAACGAUAUACACAUCAGUUCAUUAGCUUUUUCUAUAUGAAAAAAAUGUGUUUUUUUUUUUCGGUGUUGUGCUCCGACCGUCUAACUGCCUCUCUCGUUGGUCUAUCGGAUAGAUAGCCAUCCAUCAAAAGACGUAUAGGCCUUGUAAUGUCGUAUUGUUCGGAUCACUUAUAGAUAUGAUAGGGGCGCGUGUCGUUUACACUCUUGCGCACAGACACAUGAAAAUUGGAAAAGGAAAUAGUAUAUAGGUACUAUCCAUCAUCAAAAGAGAGGCACCAACUUUUCCCCAACUGACUCUGCUUUUGUCGUGAAUGUAACCUAUUGGCUUAGAGAGUAUUCGUAUGUAUAAACACAGUCAACAGCAUAAGAAAACAGAGAGGGGCUUUAAUUGAAUACAGUUUCUAUAUAACUAUACAGAAAUUUCAUUAGUUUUUGACGUAAUUCAAACCGUCAUCAGUUAUAUUCAAAAUAAAUCGGGUAUUUAAACACACACAAAAAUACUUGGCCCUUGUUCUAUAUCAUCGAAUGAAUCACUUCAAGACAUUACGUGACGUAUUGAAUACAAACAGCGACGCUGUCAUAAUAUUUAUACAGUUGUCGUAUAAAAAAGCCAUCACGGGACUGCGUCACCUACUAAAACGUGUCGAAUAAAAUCACAUUGAAAACGAAACAGCACAAAAGGAAUUCAUUUUUCUUCUUUCUGCUGUGCUGAUGUGGACGACCGAAGAGAUUAUAAGGCCAAUAUACAAAAGGGAAUUAUUAUCAAAAUCGGAAUAAAAUUGAUAGCGUUGGUACUUUCGCGGGACAAGGGAAUCUAACGUUUUGAAGGGGGGUGGUAAAGGUUUUUUUUAUUUUUAUUUUAUUUUAUUUUUUUUCGAAUUUUUGACCCCCGCCGAGAUUGGUAUACCGGUACUUCGUUUUUCUUUGAGGGGCAGGUCUGCACAGCCCCAUAGAUCAAGAGCUGCUGUGGCACAUCAAGGUGCUCUACACACUCUGACUCUAUUCAACAGUAUAGAUAUGCAAGACAGCAGCACUGCAUGGUGCCCCCCUUUUUUUCUCUCUCUCUUUCGAAGGCAGCAGCACAGUCGACUAUGUGUUUCGUUUCCCAGCUGCUUUUCCAGCUGCCAUCAGCGAGCCACUGUUUAGCCAGGGCUUAUGCGAACACACAUCAUAUAUAGACGGCCACAAAGAGCUGCUGCCCAAUGCUUUAAAUAUCCCACACCUCAAAAGAUUCUAUAAAUACAGAUUUCAACUAUAUAUUGUAUUAAUGUAUACUAUAUUUUCGCCAUUUGACAUCAACACAGAGGGCGAGAAUAAUAAACGUGAAUGGCAUCAUUUCAUGCUCCGGGGUUCGUUCAUCAUAACGUUGUGAUGUGGCCUUUAAGAGUUAUAAUAACAAGACAUUCUCGUGUCGAAUCAACGAAUAUACAGUUGCAAUCUAAUUCAUUAUAUUAUAAGCUGAUUGUUGCAAGGUCUAAAUGAUUAAUACAUAGAGGUUUCCGCUGAAUUUAAAUCGACAAAGGUCGUGCUAAUGUCAAAAGUUCGCUCAAAAACAAAGCCUUUUCUCCUCGUCGUUGUAUAAAUUUGCGUCUGUUGAUGUGAACCAAUAGAAGCGAACGAUUCUCCAUACGAUUGCAGACAACAUGUGUUAGACAUAAAACAAAAAAAUUAAAUUGAGGGAAACAGCUUACAUACACGUUUCCUUUUAAAAAGGCAAUUUGAAAGCAAGAGAGAAAUGCCUUCACUUCAAACAUAGAAAAGAAAAUUAUGUUUUUUUCUUUUUUUAAAUGUGAACCUUUUCGCUUUUGUAUAAGGAAAUUCUUCUUUUCAAAGAGAAACACCUGCGUUAUGAUUGGCUGUUAGGCGGUUCCAACCUCUUUUUUUUUUCUUUUUUAGGUCUUCCACCCAAUAGGUUAUAGGCUGAUGGCGUCUAACCGUUGGCUUCGGGCCAGUCUCUUGUAUAUUUUCUUUUGUUUUGUUAAGCAAAUAAAUUCCUUCAAAACUCUCUUUUUAUUUAAGAAAAAAAACUGAGAGACAGGAACUCUAUCUAACUUUCCUCGUUGCAACAGGCGCGCACAAGUGAGUCUCUGUAUACCUUACAGAUGGCACUCGACGUGUGUAUAAUCCAUUGUUUUUGAGCCAUUGCAAUUGAUCAAUCAUCGCCAAUGAAAUCCAACAGCACGCAUAAGAAGAGAACGGAAAUGAAAAGAAAAAACCUGUUGCCUGUAGGUGUGUCAGAAACCUAUGUGCGAUGAGUGACGAUGUCGGUUCAUUUUCUUCCCAGCUUCAAGGCAUCCCAGUUAGAUGGCCUAUUUAAAUAGUCUAAAACGAAACACUUUAAUUCAAAUGAAAUCUAAUCUUUUGAAUAGAAUUGCGCAAUUUGGUGCGGUUCUUCUGGGACUGUUUCUUUUUCAGCACGGGCCAAAAGCAUCACAGCAGGAAAAAAAAAAACACAAAACCCCAACUGCAUUUAUAGAGCACCAGGGGACCUCUUUUGCUGUGUUUAUUUCCCAAAUGUGCUGCGAUAUACUUGUCCACGAGCAAUAAAGCAUCUCGGUGGGGUGGGUGCUGUGUCCCUCCUUCAAAUUGAGAACAUACGGACAAAUGAGCUGCUGUGUCAUAAAAACGCAAAAUAUGAACUCUAUACGAUGUAUAGAGAGCACAAGUGGAGAGUAUAAAAAAGCCAGAGAAACUCUUCCAGUCAUUGGCGAUGGAUGACCAACUGAGGUGCCUUACAAAAAUAUAUAGAUUUAAGGUUAAACAAAGCGACAAGCCACCGGCGUCGAAAGUCAAAAAGCCAAUAACCAUAUCAAUAUAACGAGUGGCCAAUUAGCAUAGAGGACAGUGUAAAAAAAAAAAAUGUGGAAGAAACAACUUUGGUGCCUCGUAAAAAUUGAAGAUCUAGUUCCCAAACUCUUGGUCCCAACAAUAGACGUUUCUUUCCCUUUUAUUUUUUAUUUUUUAUUUUUUUCUUUCCUGCUGCCUUCAUAGUGUUUCAAAAGAAAGACCACACUGGCAAUAAAUCUAUCCGUUUCUCUCAAUGGGACAAAGUUUUCUUCUUCUUUUACCUAUAAGGUCGAGGUUUUUUUGAGUACCUCGGGGUAAAGAAGAGAUUUUUUGGGGGUCGAACAAAGCCAGUUGACCCUCCUUGCCAGCGAUGACAAUGAAAGUGGCCUCCAAGACGAAUGACCCAAAGUGACGUUUACACUGGAGAUACAUGGCCGUCUUGUUAUAGACCCUCUUCCAUAGCAUUUGAUUUUUUCAGGAAAAAACUUAAACGAGGGAGCUAAAGUGUUUUUCCAUUUUUUGUUUAAGCGAUUCUCUCGCCAUAGUAGAUAUACGUAUAUACAUUAAAAUUCAUCUGAAAGCGUUCAACAUUCCGGUUGGGUUAUGCAAGGAUUUAAUGGGCUGUGGCCAGUGAAGUGGGUGUUGAUUAUAUGUACGUGAUGUGUAUCGUACGGGAUUCAAACCAAACGAUCAUAUACUGUGGGCUUCCCCUAUUAAGCUAUAAUAUAAGAGUGAAUGUCAUUGCUGCUGCUUGAUCCUCUAUAUGAAAUAAUAUCGAAACCCCAAUGUUGAGUGUCCUUCCCUCAUUUUAUUCGUUUUCCAUCGCCCCCUCUUGCCACUCCAACAGCUGAAUGGGGGUCGUUCUUGAAAUGUGACAGGCAAUGCAAACAGCCUAUAUAGCUUUAUAGUGUCGCAAAGGAUUUGUAUAUAGGCUUUAAGGUCAUAAAAUAGCCAAGAAAUGGAUAGGGGGAGGAAUAGGACAAAAACAUGUAGCCAGUUUUCUUGUGCAUCUUUUGCUGCUGAGAUUUUCAGGUCGAAGAAUAUGAAAGAAGGAACAGUCAUUUCCUUCC